UCGCUUGUUUCGGUUUCAAACCGCUGCGUCUAGCGUCUAGCAACCAUGAAGAAAGAGCACAAAGCAGCGUUCAGCGGGCUUCCUCGUGGUUUCUUGUGUUCAACUCAUGUGUAUGUUAUCGUUGAGUUUAAUCGGCAAGAUAUACUGCAUCUCGUGCGUGACGUUUGUUGAUGUGUUCGCUAUUCGUCUGACGACGCAAAAGCUGUUGUGCCAGUGCCGUGACUACAUGCCGUACAACUUGCCGGACCAGCCCGGACCAGGACCAUGCCGAAAUUGGUGUCUCAUGUCAAGCACACACAAGAAAAGGCGCUGCAGCAUUUGCAGCACAUCACUUCACGGUAUAUGUGAAAGCAUACUUCGGCAAAUAAGGAAUACACCAGAAGGACACCACAGGACGCUUCAGAGUCUGGAUGUACCAUAUCUGAUGAAAAUCUUGCACCACAGAGGCUGCUCGAUGGAUGGAUGGGUUACAACCCUGAUGAAGCAGCGAAGUUCAAGGGAACAACAGGUGCACGACACUAUCAUUGCUGGACAAAAUUGAGGUUGAACAGAAAGAUGCCGCACAGGGAACGAGCAUGUCACUCAAACUGUUUGGCCGGAAAUCCUGGAGCAAGAGGAAACUUCCGCACAAGACUACAAAAAAAAGUAGACUUAGAAGUCCAUGUAUACGGGAGAGCACCUUUGGUGGAAGAGGCUUGUCGGUCGACACUGUUAUUUGGUUCACCUUGGCAAUUACUAUUUUAUCCCCGUGGAUAAAUUCACGUACAUUCAGCAGGGAACAACAGACAUAAAGCUUGUCAAAGACCUGGCACGCCACCUCUGGACGCCAGAGGAAAUGACUACAAGAAGCAUGACUGGCAAACCAUGUCGCAGGCCGGGAGUGACCGCUGGCUUGAAGUACCAGGCAACCCCUGAAAAGCUGGAGGCCGUAACAAAUGGCCGCUCAAAGUACAUCGACAGCCACCCCACCGAGGUGCCGAAAGAUGUGCGCAUGAGAACUGUCCGAAAAACGCUAAGUGAUUUUUUUGCUGAUGUCGCCCGCUAUGGAAAGCGGAGGAAAACAGUACCAUAAAUAAAGAAACUAUGUAACAUUACUAGGUUGUGAAUGUCAAAUUUAUACAAAGGCGAACGUCAAAACAUGCUGUUGAGCAGGGCCUACCAGUAAGCCCCAGUCUGCCAGUGAUCUGACCAGUUUACCAGUGUGGAGACUGGUACCGGUAAAGCCAGUCUGCCAGUGAGCUGGCCAGUCUACCAGUAUGGAGACUGGUACCAGUAUAGCCAGUGACUAUACUGGGUCAAUAAUCCGGUUUGGCACUGUAGACUGGUUUCCGGUCUGCCCAGUGAUACUGGUUUUUUCAACAGGGUUGCGCCUGGGAGCCAGUUCUAGCGGCACCGUCCUAGCGUGAGGCCCCGCACAUCUGCCCGCUGGGGCAUUCCAUCAUCGCCGCUCGAGACUCGUGUAGAGGAGCACCACCUCCUCUACAGUGGCACUCCAUCGUCCAAAGCAGACGAAAAAUCAGGAGGCGUGGCCUUUCUGUGUCACCUUAUUAUUCGCCAGAAAUACAAGUCUAUCUCUGUCGCCCGCUCACGACGUCGUGUCCGGCGUCGCCCAGUGAGAACUGGCUCUAAGUAUCACAAUUGAAGACAAGCAGGACGCUUAUCUGCACCACAUUUGGCAUUAUGGCGACUGAGAACGAGGUCUUUUUCCUCCGAAAAACAGUGUUAAGCCCUCCUUCCUUCGUGUCAAAAGCUAUUAAAUCAGUGGUAAGAUAUUUGAUUACAGCUUUUCACUCGUGUUUGAUUUCUUCAAACGGUUUACCGUUGUUGUUUUUGCUACCUCUCUCGUACGCAGUCGGUGCGAGGGGAAAAGCGAAUGACACUCGCAUGUAUUGCCAUUUGGUCUCACCGUGUGACACAGAACGAAUGUCACUCAGUCUGAAUGUCAUUUGCUGAGAAUGGCAUUCAAUUUGCCGUGUGACAGGGCAGUAAUACCCCAGUCAGACGGCAUGCUCGAAGGACUUCGGGGAAUUUUCAUUUGCAAAAAAUGACCUCUCAGAGCCGUGUCAGACGGCAGCUCAAAGGACCUUUCUAAGAAAUGACCAUCAACGCGAAAGGAGGCCCCCAACGACAUUUGAGGUGUAGAAAGGAGCAAUCUCGACAACAGUGUUAUGCCAUUGUACCCUCGCUACCUUCGCAGCUGAAUGUAGGAAAACCUAUAAAAUGUGGAUAAUGGAGUGAAACUGUGUAAACGUAUUUAGAUAUCCUAUUUAGAGAAGUGCAUAUGACUUCUGCAUCUUGAUUUGUGGCGCACAGACCAACUUCAAAUUUCCAAAGCAGACAGGGAAAACGAAACCGAAAAAGGGAGCCGGUGAGGGCAGUCAGUUGAGGAGCACUUCUUUCCGGCCUGUCUGGCAGGCGCCCAGGAACAAAGGUCAUUUGAGAGGCCGAUGGCCAUUUCUCGCAAUUGACAUUUGAAAUGCUGUCUGACUAGGGUAUAAGACGACGUGUACAAAGCAUCAUCACUUUUCCGUUCGGAGCCAAGUCGUUAUUACCUAGACCCAUUCAAUAUUCCCAGUUGUAAAAACACAAGCUGGCGUCCGAGCCCGUAAACCUUUAGCCCUAUUACUCAGGAAAAUUUUACUAUGUGCCAGUUUCGGACAAAAGAAGCGUUUUCCGCGUUUCACAGCAACUUGCUCUCGAGGCAGUUAAAUUGCUUGUUAAGGAAUAAGUACUCGUCAGAUGUGUAUAUACGUGAAGCGAACAGAUGUGAUGUGUUUAUUCAGCCUUCCGAGAAAGUACAUGCAAUGAGGUAGGCGUUGGGGAAACACACAAAACAAAAUAUUGUGUUUGGAAGAAUAUGUGGUGUUCAUAUCCGAAGACGAAAUCCCCUAGGAAAGACAUGAGUCAACGUCAAACGCGAGACAGGGUCUUCAAACAACACAGUACAUGCAGCAGACCAGGCAGCAUCCAAGGGCGUAGAGAGGGCGGGGGAGGGGUCUUACGGUGCUUGAACCUCCCUCCCCUCAAGAAACGUAGGCCACCUUGCAUGCAUCGUGCCAUUUCUUCACGGUGGCUGAGGUUAAUUCAGGUUAAUUCGAACUCAAUAAAUGUGAUUACCACUGGCUGGCGAUCACCAUUUUGCAUAGUGAAUGUGGGAAGAAAGAAAGGAAAUGAAAGGAACGAAAAUGACAAGGAAGUACGAAGUACCGGAGACCGACGUCUCCAGCACUUCGGGGAAAGGAAAUUGGGUUUACGGUGAUCAGAAGCACACGGGACGCAAGAACGGGGAAAACACAUAUGUAAUAUUAGGAGCUGAUUCGGUGAUACAGUCUCUCAUAUCUCUCUGAUAAUCUCAGUACCAUUGGUGAUGUCAUUGCCUGGAUCAAGCUUGGCCCUUUGCUUGGCUUUGCGGGCUUGUUCAGUAAUCUUCAAUGUUUUUGGCACUCCCGUCCUUUCCGGGUCGCUCCUCAGUUGCCGGUGUCGACUCUUUGUUUUCUGUUCUUCGUGCAGCUAGCUCUAGACCCCCAUUGUCCUAUGAGAAAGUUUCCGAGCUGGAGAUUCAGUGCCCUUCCGAGCUCGCCACUGCUCAUGUCACAUUGCGCAAACGGUGGCGGGUCUCGCGAAAGCAAGAAUUCGGGGAAAGAAAGAAAUACGGCCUCAUAAUAAAAGAAACAUAUAAUAAAAUAUGCAAGAUCUAAUAAAAUAAAAUAUGUACGCCCCUCGUCGCCCCUCCUAACUUUUUUAAACUAUCAGAAAAGCAAAUGCUGGAAAGUAAACAAGAAAAAAGAAUGCACAAGGCAUUCAGAGGAAGAGAGAGAGAAUGCAGCUCAUACCAGGACAACUCAUACCAACACAGUUCAUGCCAGUACAACUCAUACCGGAAUAACUCAUACCAAGACAACUCAAACCAAGACAACUCAAACCAAGGCAACUCAAACCAAGGCAACUCAUACCACGACCAACUCAUACCACGACCAACUCAUACCACGACCAACUCAUACCACGACCAACUCAUACCACGACCAACUCACACGAAGACAACUCAUACCACACUAAACUUUUUUUUUUUGUGGGGGGAAUGUUUUAUUUUAUUUCAUUUAUUAUUUUUUGCUUGCGGGAAGGGGUGUUGAUUUGGUGAUGGGUGAAGUAGCUCUUUUGUGCCAUUCAAAUUCAAGUCACGCUGGGGAAGGCCAUAUUAGGGGAAAGAAACGAAGAAAUGAACUUAUACUGAAGGAAAUGUACAAGUCCUAUAAAAGGCAGUUGCCGACAUUCACUAAACAACAGUUGAAGCACACUGGAAUUGCAGUGAGAAAUGGGGACUUUUUUUUUUUUUAAAGAAGCCAAAUCGAGAAUGUCGCACAUUUCCAUUGUCGCACUGAACACUAAAACACUAAUCCUUUGAAUAUGUGGCCAUUGGCACGUUUCUCCAGGCGUUGUUAUCUCGAUUUGUUGGGGUGCCAGCCUGGGGCUAGCAACCCAUUCUUCAUGGUUGCCAGCCAGACUUGUAGAACUUUAGUAGAACGGUGGGAAGAACUAAACAGCAGCCUCCACGUUGACUAAAUUGGUCCGAUUCUCUAGGAACGGCUUCUUGGCUUUGCCUCCUAUUCGUGAAACCAGUCAAAUGUACUCUAAAAAAAAAAAAAAAAAGAAAAAAAACUCUGAAGUAUUCCACAGGACCACGAAAAUGCGGCACAUUUCAAUUUAUUUUAGUUCAAAAUUCCCUUAAACCACUGUAGUGCCGUUUAACUGUCCUUCAGUGCGCUUCGGUGAAUGUCAUUUGUGGAAAUCUUAUACUUCCUUCAGUAUAAGUGAAGUUUUGUGACUCUUUUUUUUCUCUCUCUCUGGUACGGCCUUCCCCGGCGUGGCAUGAGAUUUGAGUUUGAAAAGCUAAUCCCAAAAACAACCCCUCUUCCCGCAAAAAAGAAAAAAAAAAGAAAAAAAGUGUGGUAUGAGUUGUCUUG